rnacentral:rRNA from 1 species
CUUCUUUUUCCACCGGAGCUUGCUCCACCGGAAAAAGAAGAGUGGCGAACGGGUGAGUAACACGUGGGUAACCUGCCCAUCAGAAGGGGAUAACACUUGGAAACAGGUGCUAAUACCGUAUAACAAUCGAAACCGCAUGGUUUUGAUUUGAAAGGCGCUUUCGGGUGUCGCUGAUGGAUGGACCCGCGGUGCAUUAGCUAGUUGGUGAGGUAACGGCUCACCAAGGCCACGAUGCAUAGCCGACCUGAGAGGGUGAUCGGCCACAUUGGGACUGAGACACGGCCCAAACUCCUACGGGAGGCAGCAGUAGGGAAUCUUCGGCAAUGGACGAAAGUCUGACCGAGCAACGCCGCGUGAGUGAAGAAGGUUUUCGGAUCGUAAAACUCUGUUGUUAGAGAAGAACAAGGAUGAGAGUAACUGUUCAUCCCUUGACGGUAUCUAACCAGAAAGCCACGGCUAACUACGUGCCAGCAGCCGCGGUAAUACGUAGGUGGCAAGCGUUGUCCGGAUUUAUUGGGCGUAAAGCGAGCGCAGGCGGUUUCUUAAGUCUGAUGUGAAAGCCCCCGGCUCAACCGGGGAGGGUCAUUGGAAACUGGGAGACUUGAGUGCAGAAGAGGAGAGUGGAAUUCCAUGUGUAGCGGUGAAAUGCGUAGAUAUAUGGAGGAACACCAGUGGCGAAGGCGGCUCUCUGGUCUGUAACUGACGCUGAGGCUCGAAAGCGUGGGGAGCAAACAGGAUUAGAUACCCUGGUAGUCCACGCCGUAAACGAUGAGUGCUAAGUGUUGGAGGGUUUCCGCCCUUCAGUGCUGCAGCUAACGCAUUAAGCACUCCGCCUGGGGGAGUACGACCGCAAGGUUGAAACUCAAAGGAAUUGACGGGGGCCCGCACAAGCGG